AGCAGCCGCGGUAAUUCCAGCUCCAAUAGCGUAUAUUAAAGUUGUUGCAGUUAAAAAGCUCGUAGUUGAAUUUCAGGCCUGGCUGGGCGGUCCGCCUUUUGGGUGAGUACUGCCUGUGGUCGGGUCCUACCUUCUGGCGAAGCGUCAUGGCCUUAACCGGCCGUGGCGGGGAACCAGGACUUUUACUGUGAAAAAUUAGAGUGUUCAAAGCAGGCAGUCGCUUGAAUACAUUAGCAUGGAAUAAUGGAAUAGGACAGUGGUUCUAUUUGUUGGUUUCUAGGACCGUUGUAAUGAUUAAUAGGGAUAGUUGGGGCAUUAGUAUUCAAUUGUCA
rnacentral:rRNA from 1 species